GACAGAGGUGCCAAGCGUUAGGCGGAAUCACUGGGCGUAAAGCGUGCGCAGGCGGUGAUGUAAGACAGGUGUGAAAUCCCCGGGCUUAACCUGGGAACUGCAUUUGUGACUGCAUCGCUGGAGUGCGGCAGAGGGGGAUGGAAUUCCGCGUGUAGCAGUGAAAUGCGUAGAUAUGCGGAGGAACACCGAUGGCGAAGGCAAUCCCCUGGGCCUGCACUGACGCUCAUGCACGAAAGCGUGGGGAGCAAACAGG
rnacentral:rRNA from 1 species